GAAGAAGAACGCAGCGAAAUGCGAUAAGUAAUGUGAAUUGCAGAAUUCAGUGAAUCAUCGAAUCUUUGAACGCACAUUGCGCCCCUUGGUAUUCCGAGGGGCAUGCCUGUUCGAGCGUCAUUAUAACCCCUCAAGCUCAGCUUGGUGUUGGGGCCUGCUGCACUGGCAGCCCUUAAAAUCAGUGGCGGCGCCAUCUGGCUCUAAGCGUAGUAAUUCUUCUCGCUAUGGAGUCCUGGUGGAUGCUUGCCAUCAACCCCCAAUUUUUCUAUGGUUGACCUCGGAUCAGGUAGGGAUACCCGCUGAACUUAAGCAUAUCAAUAAGCGGAGGA
rnacentral:misc_RNA from 1 species